rnacentral:rRNA from 1 species
GACGAACGCUGGCGGCGUGCUUAACACAUGCAAGUCGAACGGAAAGGCCCUGCUUUUGUGGGGUGCUCGAGUGGCGAACGGGUGAGUAACACGUGAGUAACCUGCCCUUGACUUUGGGAUAACUUCAGGAAACUGGGGCUAAUACCGGAUAGGAGCUCCUGCUGCAUGGUGGGGGUUGGAAAGUUUCGGCGGUUGGGGAUGGACUCGCGGCUUAUCAGCUUGUUGGUGGGGUAGUGGCUUACCAAGGGUUUGACGGGUAGCCGGCCUGAGAGGGUGACCGGGCACAUUGGGACUGAGAUACGGACCAGACUGCUACGGGAGGCAGCAGUGGGGAAUAUUGCACAAUGGGCGGAAGCCUGAUGCAGCAACGCCGCGUGCGGGAUGACGGCCUUCGGGUUGUAAACCGCUUUAGCCUGUGACGAAGCGUGAGUGACGGUAAUGGGUAAAGAAGCACCGGCUAACUACGUG